GACAUCAGGCCAAUAAAUCACUGAAACAAUUUUGCUAAUGAAGUGUAGUGACGUUUUUAGAGUAGACACUAAAAUCCCAGAUAGCUGUGGACAAUCAUUUCUUCAAGUCCUUCUCGUACCUAGGGGUUGGAUACCAGAGGACCUAUCUGUAUCUUCGUAGGUUGUCUGGGUAUGCUGAUGAGGCAACAGAAGCUACUCCAAAGACAAAUGUCAUCAUGGAUGAAUGACAUCAGAAAUGUCGGCACUGAGACCAUGCUUUGGAAGGUUGUUCAGGUGCAUGUGAAAAACCUAGGAAAAUAAGGAACUGAUGAUUAACCGAGAGGACGGCAUAUUACAGCAGCACUGUGAUCCCGAUUGCUGAGAAGGAUUCAGAUGCUCGAUUUUUCUCUCGAGUGCAACAAUACUAGUCUUUUACUCCAAUUCAGAACCUUAUGGAAUGUAGCAAACCCUCAAAUGAGUGGAAAUAAGAUUUCUAGGAGGGUGUUGAAGACUGCCUUGACAACUAUUAAGGAUGACUAGUGCUUAAUAAGGUGCAUGACAUGCAACCUUUCUUCUGAAACGCUGUGACUUGGGGAUUGUUUUCAUAGAUACUGUGGGCAUAAUACUGCCAUCCUUUACUGUCUCGCAGGAUUGAACUCCAGUGCUCUGCAGUUCAAAUUGGACCGUGUGGAUAAACUCGGUUCUCCAGACUUGCUGUCCCCUCCACCCAAAGUCCAGGCGCAUGUGUAUUGUUGCACAGGAGCCUGCCCAUCCUCCCACAUGGGCUGGAUAUCUGAGACGGUUUCGCUUGUGGCUCCUAUUCAGUCAAUGGUGAGUGGACAAUCAUUCCAUCUUUCUUAGAGAAGGGGUGUUCUGACUUAGACACUGGUACACUGGUAUGCCCAGUGGUUGUACCAAUAUCCUAACAGAUGGCAAUAAACAGAUUGCAGAGAUUUGGGGGAAAAAACAUGGCAUGGGUGCAUUCCACCCACAUUGAACUGGAGCAACCACUCCAGUUGGGAUAUUUUCUUAUCAGUGACAUUGUGGGGAAGUCUUCAUCCCCUGGUAAAAGUGACCCUUUCGUAAGUCAUUUUUCUUUAGGUGUUCCUGAAUGUCCUACUAUUCUCUUCAACCCCAGCCCUCCCUGUAGUCAUAACUGAAUAAAAAAGUCUUUUUGUAUUUUCUGUCUCUUAGAGAAGAGG